UACGAAGGGGGCUAGCGUUGUUCGGAAUUACUGGGCGUAAAGCGCGCGCAGGCGGUUCUUCAAGUCAGUGGUGAAAGCCCGGAGCUCAACUCCGGAACUGCCAUUGAAACUGUGGAACUUGAGGAUGAGAGAGGUGAGUGGAAUUCCCAGUGUAGAGGUGAAAUUCGUAGAUAUUGGGAAGAACACCAGUGGCGAAGGCGGCUCACUGGACCGGCAUUGACGCUGAGGUGCGAAAGCGUGGGGAGCAAACAGG
rnacentral:rRNA from 1 species